rnacentral:rRNA from 1 species
AUGGGCCUGGAGUUUGAGGACGACUGCAGUUACUACCACCGCCUUGACAUCACCACCCCAGAACUCCACCUCGCAUCACCCCUCUACAUCGUCUUCGACUUCUCCAACCGCCACCUCGACGCCAUUGUCGUCGCUGCUCUGCUUCAACCUGUUCUUGGUGGCAGUGCUGCUGACUUCUUCGUGGCCAUGUGCUCUCCUCUUGUUUUCCGCCUCCAUGUUGCCUCAUCGCGUGUCGCAGAGAUCAUCCUCGCCCAAACCAGGGUCCGCCACCACAACUUCGCCUUCUUCUUCACUAGAACCCUGCCCCCGCUUCCACCACCACCCCAGGCCGCCGCGUCUUGCAUGUCGCUUGCACACCUGCUUCAAAUUCCAGAUGAUCUGGGUCUUCACUUUGAAGGCGUCACAUGGUCACAACUCCGAUCUCCAGUCUCAAUUGAUCCAUGCAACCAGCCACACCGAUGCCGCAUGUAUGCGCGUGUCAUCCAGUUCCCGUUCGCCCUUAAUGCCACCUCAAUGGCCCUCAUCCUUGCUCAUCUAUUCGGCGGCUUCCACCACAGCUUCAACAUCACGAACGACGGUGACUCAUGUUUCUCGUUCACCGUCGCCUCGCAAGAAGUCGCCAAGCUCAUCGCCUCCAUGGGUGACUUCCACAAGAAGGGCAUGCUGAUCCGUUUCCCCUAG